rnacentral:rRNA from 1 species
ACGCUCGACACCUACGGGAAGCAGCAGUGGGGAAUAUUGCACAAUGGGGGAAACCCUGAUGCAGCGACGCCGCGUGGAGGAAGAAGGUCUUCGGAUUGUAAACUCCUGUUGUUGGGGAAAAAGAGGAUGGUACCCAACAAGGAAGUGACGGCUAACUACGUGUCAGCAGCCGCGGUAAUCUGAGCGGGCUGGCAAGGC